rnacentral:misc_RNA from 1 species
GAUAACGCACUUGCAAAUCUUGAUUGCACAUUACUAAUCUGCACCUGGAUUGACUCAACAGGGUACUCUGGAGAUGAAUCAACAAUAAUCCUUUCUUCACUAAUGCGAAGACCCUUCUGCUUUGCACUGAAAUCCGCAUUUACAAGGUUGAUGAUUGUAUCCGAUAUAGGCUCAAUAAUGCCUUUUGUAACCAUGGCUCGAAGAAGUCUAGUGUCCAAGCUGUCAGGGUCCCUAGCCGAUUUGUAAACCACUUUCACACUCUGAAUCCCACUGCCACCAGUCACUAGCUGUACUGCUAAUCUACCCACUUUCUCAGCGAGCACGACGUAAGGAGCCAACUCGGACAAAACCUCAGGAGGGACCAUUGGAGCAUUCACAGCGGUAGCAGAAAGUUCCCCAUUUAGAGCACCAACAACAGCCUCAGCUAUUUCAAUUGCAACUCCUUCCUGUGCUUCUUUAGUGCUAGCUCCAAGAUGAGGUGUAACAGUAACAUUCUCAUGCUGCACUAGUUUGCUAUCUUUUGGUGGGGGCUCCACAGUAAACACAUCAAGUGCUGCCUGAGCAACUAUUCCACUGUCAAGGGCUCUAACUAAUGCAUCCUCGUCGAUAACACCUCCUCGAGCAACGUUUAUUAGUCUGACUCCAUUCUUCAUCUUUGCAAAAGUGUCAUCAUUGAAUACCUUGUUCGUAGCAGGUGUGAGAGGCAUGUGGAGUGAGAUGAAGUCAGCAGUAGAUAUGGCCUGCUCAAAUGAAACCAAAUCGACUCCAAUAGCACGAGCUCUGUCAGCAGGAGCAUAAGGAUCAUGGGCAAUAACAUGCAUACCGAGGCCUUUUGCACGUCUAGCAACCUCGGAACCAACUUUACCAAAUCCCAUAAUAGCUAAUGUUUUCCCAACAAGAGAAACACCCACAUACUUGCUGCGCAGCCAUUUUCCAGCUUUCAUGGAGGCAUCAGACUGAGCAACGUUACGGGCCAUGGAGGUGAGCAAAGCGAUUCCAUGCUCAGCUGCAGCAAUAGUAUUAGCUGUGGGUGCGUUAACGACGAGGCAACCAAAUUCAGUUGCAGCUUGCAGAUCGACAUUGUCUAUACCAACACCAGCUCUCCCCACGACCUUGAGUCUUCCCUGAGCAGCCUCAAACACGUCACGGGUCACCUUGGUACCACUACGGACGAUGAGCGCGUCGCACAGAGAGAUCUUAGCGCAGAGAUCCUGAGGAGACAAGUCGUAAGAACAAUCCACGUUGCCGAAACUCUUGAGCAAAUCUAGACCCGCCUCUCCAAGCUUCUCGGAUACGAGAAUGGUUGGUUUGGAAGUGGAUACAACGCCGUGAAGAUCUCUAGAGAGGGAGAUGUCAGCAGAUUCAACAGUUUUGAGGACAUUACAAAUCACCGUCGUCGAAGAAGAAGAAAUUGAUGGUGAAACAGAGUGAAGGAGUUUGAUGGAAGAUGGAUUUGAGGAGGCAUGGAGGAAAGAGAGAUUUGAAGGUUUGUUGUGAUUGACGGAAGAAGAAGAGAGGAGAGAAUUGAGGCGGGCAGUGUGAGGAGAAGGGAUGGACGCCAUUUUUAUGAGAGCAACAAAUAGACUGACUGCAAAACUCAAAAGUUGUUGGAGGCUUUGAGGGGUUUGGACACAAAAUGAAACUAAAACAUGUUCCU